GAUGAACGCUGGCGGUGUGCCUAAUACAUGCAAGUCGAACGGACCUUUGUUUUUGUAGAAUCUCUCCACAUGUGGGAGCGUCUCAUAAACAAUGGUUAGUGGCGGACGGGUGAGUAACACGUUGGUACCUGCCCCGAAGUGGGGAAUAACUGCCCGAAAGAUUAGCUAAUACCGCAUGAGAUCGAGAGAUGAAAGCAGGGGACCGCAAGGCCUUGCGCGAUUGGAGCGGCCGAUGUCGGAUUAGCUAGUUGGCGGGGUAAAGGCCCACCAAGGCGACGAUCCGUAGCUGGUUUGAGAGAACGACCAGCCACACUGGGACUGAGACACGGCCCAGACUCCUACGGGAGGCAGCAGUGGGGAAUAUUGGACAAUGGGCGCAAGCCUGAUCCAGCCAUGCCGCGUGAGUGAUGAAGCCUUAGGGUUGUAAAG
rnacentral:rRNA from 1 species